GAGGGUAUAGCUCAGCGGUAGAGCUCAUGCCUGGCAUCCACGAGGUCCUGAGUUUAGUACCCAGUACCUCUA
rnacentral:tRNA from 1 species